rnacentral:snRNA from 1 species
GCGAACAAGUACCGCGAG